rnacentral:lncRNA from 1 species
AGACAAUCAUAACAGCUUUUAGAUCUAGAAAUAAAUCAAUAAAAUGUCAACUGCCAAAAUACCACAUGUUUCAGAGGAAGAAGAGAACUAUUUAAGAAUGCAUUUAUUGAUGACUGGAAUUUCUUCAAGAGCUGUACGAGUUUUAUUUGACAACGAAUUUUCUCCUGUCUGCUUAGAUGCUACAAUUAAAAAGGAAACUGGGAAGCUAAUUGACUUGAAAAAUAAACAUAUUAUUAACGGAACUCAAUGGAAAUUACUGUUUCCUCGUCUUGGUAUGUAUAACAUGUAUAAUAUAUUUUUGAUUCGG